AGAAGGGAAGAGUUCCUCUUUUAUGUCUAAGAAGAGACUUCAAAAGAAGUUGGAGCAGUCGCAAAAGCAUAAUCAAGAGAUGAAGAAUGAGAUUGUAGACAUUAAGGCACGGAUGGAGCAUCAACAAAAGAUUUUGGAAGCUUUAUGUGCAUCAUAGAAUAUCUCUUUAUCAGAUUUAUGACAUAAGUUACUUAAAUUAUUUUUUUAAUGUGUCC
rnacentral:lncRNA from 1 species